UACAGGGGGUGCAAACGUUGCUCGGAAUUAUUGGGCGUAAAGCGCGCGUAGGCGGCUCCUUAAGUCGGAUGUGAAAGCCCACGGCUCAACCGUGGAGGGUCAUUGGAAACUGAGGGACUUGAGUGCAGGAGAGAAGAGUGGAAUUCCACGUGUAGCGGUGAAAUGCGUAGAGAUGUGGAGGAACACCAGUGGCGAAGGCGACUCUUUGGCCUGUAACUGACGCUGAGGCGCGAAAGCGUGGGGAGCAAACAGG
rnacentral:rRNA from 1 species